rnacentral:rRNA from 1 species
UACGUAGGGGGCAAGCGUUGUCCGGAUUUAUUGGGCGUAAAGAGCGUGUAGGCGGCCAGGUAGGUCAGCUGUGAAAACUCGAGGCUCAACCUCGAGACGUCGGUGGAAACCACCUGGCUAGAGUCCGGAAGAGGAGAGUGGAAUUCCUGGUGUAGCGGGGAAAUGCGCAGAUAUCAGGAAGAACACCCGUGGCGAAGGCGGCUCUCUGGGACGGUACUGACGCUGAGACGCGAAAGCGUGGGGAGCGAACAGG